rnacentral:rRNA from 1 species
UGGGGAAUAUUGGACAAUGGGCGCAAGCCUGAUCCAGCCAUGCCGCGUGAGUGACGAAGGUCUUCGGAUUGUAAACUCUUUUGGCGGGGACGAUAAUGACGGUACCCGCAGAAUGAGCCCGGCGUACAUUCGUGCCAGCAGCCGCGGUAAUACGAAGGGGCGUAGCGUUGUUCGGAAUCACUGGGCGUAAAGCGCACGUAGGCGGAUGUGCCAGUCAGGGGUGAAAUCCCGGAGCUCAACUCCGGAACUGCCUCUGAUACAGCACGUCUUGAGUUCGAGAGAGGUGGGUGGAAUUCCUAGUGUAGAGGUGAAAUUCGUAGAUAUUAGGAAGAACACCGGUGGCGAAGGCGGCCCACUGGCUCGAUACUGACGCUGAGGUGCGAAGCGUGGGGAGCAAACA